GUGCCGCACUAGAGCCCCCUGUUGCAACGAGAUUUUUUAUCGCCUUCACUGUCAUGAUGAUGCAAAGGUUGUAAGUUCAAUCUGUGAUAGUGCUCAAGAGGUGGUGUUUGCAUGGGGAAGUACUUUUGUUGGACUUGUAAGUUUUUGGAUGAUGAUGUGCGUCAAAUC